rnacentral:tRNA from 1 species
GGAGACGUAUCGAAGUGGUCAUAACGAGCCUGACUCGAAAUCAGGUUGUCGGUUUACCGGCACGAGGGUUCGAAUCCCUCCGUCUCCG